CAUUACCGAGUUUACAACUCCCAAACCCAAUGUGAACCAUACCAAACUGUUGCCUCGGCGGGGUCACGCCCCGGGUGCGUCGCAGCCCCGGAACCAGGCGCCCGCCGGAGGGACCAACCAAACUCUUUUCUGUAGUCCCCUCGCGGACGUUAUUUCUUACAGCUCUGAGCAAAAAUUCAAAAUGAAUCAAAACUUUCAACAACGGAUCUCUUGGUUCUGGCAUCGAUGAAGAACGCAGCGAAAUGCGAUAAGUAAUGUGAAUUGCAGAAUUCAGUGAAUCAUCGAAUCUUUGAACGCACAUUGCGCCCGCCAGUAUUCUGGCGGGCAUGCCUGUCCGAGCGUCAUUUCAACCCUCGAACCCCUCCGGGGGGUCGGCGUUGGGGACCUCGGGAGCCCCUAAGACGGGAUCCCGGCCCCGAAAUACAGUGGCGGUCUCGCCGCAGCCUCUCCUGCGCAGUAGUUUGCACAACUCGCACCGGGAGCGCGGCGCGUCCACGUCCGUAAAACACCCAACUUCUGAAAUGUUGACCUCGGAUCAGGUAGGAAUACCCGCUGAACUUAAGCAUAU
rnacentral:rRNA from 1 species